rnacentral:misc_RNA from 1 species
GAGAGAGAGAGAGAAACUCUCAGUUUUAUGAAGCCAAAACAAAUUUGGAAUAAUAAAAUAACCAAUGGCAAAAGUCUUGAAUAAACUAAGUAGAAGACAUUGUAUUUAUAGUUUAUCAACUAGUCAUAUUAGUAACUAAUUGGAAAUACUUACCAAACAAACUCAAACUUCCUAAAUAGAAUAAAAUACUGCUUCCUGAUUAACUUUCCUAAAAAUAGAAUUAUAAAAUUCCUAAUUAUAUAAUAAAUAUAAUUCCUAAGUUGAGUCUU